rnacentral:rRNA from 1 species
GAGCAACCUGCCCCAGGCUUUGGGAUAACCCCGGGAAACCGGGGCUAAUACCGAAUAUGACCUUGCACCGCAUGGUGUUUGGUGGAAAGUUUUUCGGCUUGGGAUGGGCUCGCGGCCUAUCAGCUUGUUGGUGGGGUGAUGGCCUACCAAGGCGACGACGGGUAGCCGGCCUGAGAGGGCGACCGGCCACACUGGGACUGAGACACGGCCCAGACUCCUACGGGAGGCAGCAGUGGGGAAUAUUGCACAAUGGGCGGAAGCCUGAUGCAGCGACGCCGCGUGAGGGAUGACGGCCUUCGGGUUGUAAACCUCUUUCAGCAGGGACGAAGCGUAAGUGACGGUACCUGCAGAAGAAGCGCCGGCCAACUACGUGCCAGCAGCCGCGGUAAGACGUAGGGCGCGAGCGUUGUCCGGAUUUAUUGGGCGUAAAGAGCUCGUAGGCGGCUUGUCGCGUCGACCGUGAAAACCUGGGGCUCAACCCCAGGCCUGCGGUCGAUACGGGCAGGCUAGAGUUCGGUAGGGGAGACUGGAAUUCCUGGUGU